UACGUAGGGUGCGAGCGUUGUCCGGAAUUAUUGGGCGUAAAGGGCUCGUAGGCGGUCUGUCGCGUCGGUAGUGAAAACUCAGGGCUUAACCCUGAGCCUGCUUCCGAUACGGGCAGACUAGAGGUAUGCAGGGGAGAAUGGAAUUCCUGGUGUAGCGGUGAAAUGCGCAGAUAUCAGGAGGAACACCAGGGGCGAAGGCGGUUCUCUGGGCAUUACCUGACGCUGAGGAGCGAAAGUGUGGGGAGCGAACAGG
rnacentral:rRNA from 1 species